UACAGAGGUGGCAAGCGUUGUUCGGGAUUACUGGGCGUAAAGGGCGCGUAGGCGGCCUUCUAAGUCAGACGUGAAAUCCCCCGGCUUAACCUGGGAACUGCGUCUGAUACUGGGAGGCUUGAGUAUGGGAGAGGGAUGUAGAAUUCCAGGUGUAGCGGUGAAAUGCGUAGAUAUCUGGAGGAAUACCGGUGGCGAAGGCGGCAUCCUGGACCAUAACUGACGCUGAGGCGCGAAAGCUAGGGGAGCAAACGGG
rnacentral:rRNA from 1 species